rnacentral:sRNA from 1 species
GACCCCCUUGACACUGGCGGCCCAGACCGAAGGCUCUGUAGAGGUGAUUCGAACCCUGUGCCUGGGCGGGGCCCACAUUGACUUCCGGGCCCGGGAUGGCAUGACCGCACUGCAUAAGGCCGCAUGCGCCCGACACUGCCUGGCACUCACGGCGCUCCUGGACCUUGGGGGUUCCCCCAACUACAAGGACCGUCGGGGGCUGACCCCUCUGUUCCACACGGCCAUGGUGGGUGGUGACCCCCGAUGCUGCGAGCUGCUCCUGUUCAACAGGGCCCAGCUGGGCAUAGCUGAUGAGAACGGCUGGCAGGAAAUCCACCAGGCCUGCCAGCGGGGUCACUCUCAGCACCUGGAGCAUCUGCUUUUCUAUGGGGCUGAGCCUGGAGCCCAGAACGCCUCGGGGAACACGGCUCUGCACAUCUGCGCCCUCUACAACAAGGUCUGCCUAGCAGCGGCCACCCCAGGCCCCUCACAUCCCCGAUAGCCGCCUCCCCCAGGGCCAAGCUCAGACACUCCUCUUGACUGCAUCUCUGCACCCUCCACUUCUUCACUAUUUCCACCUUUUCAUCCAGUCAUUCCUCCAUUCAUUCCUCCAUCCAUCCAUCCAUCCAUCCAUCCAUCCAUCCAACAGAUAUUUACUGAGCUCCUUCUCUGUAUCAGGCCUGGAGCUGGGUGCUGGGGACAAAGUGUUGAGCUCAUGGCCUAGCAGAGGGCAGACAACAUAGUUUGCUGCUACAAUCCAGAGUGCUCAGAGCAAAGUCACAGGGAAUCCAGAUCCCUGCGGGA